rnacentral:rRNA from 1 species
GACGAACGCUGGCGGCGCGCUUAACACAUGCAAGUCGAGCGAGAACCAGGACUUCGGUCCUGGGGACAGCGGCGAACGGGUGAGUAACACGUGGAUAACCUGCCCUCGGCACCGGGAUAGCCCGGGGAAACUCGGAUUAAUACCGGAUGGCCCUUCCGGCUCACGAGCCGGUCGGAAAAGGUAGCUUCGGCCUCCGGCCGAGGAUGGGUCCGCGGCGGAUUAGCUUGUUGGUGGGGUAACGGCCCACCAAGGCUCCGAUCCGUAGCUGGUCUGGGGGGACGAUCAGCCACACUGGGACUGAGACACGGCCAGACGCCUACGGGAGGCAGCAGUGGGGAAUCGUGCGCAAUGGGCGAAAGCCUGGCGCAGCGACGCCGCGUGAGGGAGGAAGGCCUUCGGGUUGUAAACCUCUUUCAGGAGGGACGAAGCUACUCGGGUGAAUAGCCCAGAGGGUGACGGUACCUCCAGAAGAAGCCCCGGCUAACUACGUGCCAGCCGCCGCCGUAAUAC